ACUGUGGGGGCGAGCAGGGUCUCUGGAGUCCGACACCUGACACUGCCCCCCCGGGCCUUAGCCAUUUGCAACAGAGAGGGUCCCGGCGCCCUGGACCCCAGUCUUGGGGCCAGGGUGACUCACAGCGGUGUCCCCUCCCCCUCGCCACACAGACGUCUCCGCCUACCCCCAACAAUCUCAGCGACGCCGUGGGCUCUGCGACUCCGCCGUCUGCUGGGGGAUGCUGGGGCCCAUGCCCUUCUCCCGCCCCAGCGGGCCAGGCCGCCCCCUGCCCAGUCUUCAGGCUUGCCUUGCUGCACCGGGUCGCCUCGUGAGGUGAGGAAGGAUGCAACCUCGGAACGUGGAGCCGGAGACCCAGGACAGCCGAGGGACCGGCCGAGGGUCCGGGGUGAGAGAGGGUCCGAGGAGUCGGGGUCCUGCCCUGCCCUGGCGUGCUGCAUUGUAGAAGGAGAGAGCACACUCAGGUCCCCAGUGACUUUCUGGAAACAGAACAACCACUGUCCGAUCCCAGCUCACAGAAGUUCACCUAGAGCAGUGGUGUCGUACCUAUGGCAUGCAGAGGCCGCUCUGUCGGCAGCAAGCCAGGUGGCCCAGCAUUGCCCAGCCUGAGCACCCGAUUGCAGUGCACAUGUUCGCAAAGGAGUGGCGGUGCCAGGCGCUGACAUCUGGAGCCGAAACUCAUCAGCUGUAACUCCUCUGGACUUCGCAAGGCCGGUGGUACUCAAGUUUAAUUGCAGUGUCGGCACUUUGCGAUAAGUAAGUGGGUUUUGGGUUGCAGUUUGGGCACUCGGCCUUUAAAAGGUUUGCUAUCCCUGACCUAAAGGAUAGGAUAUUCUGCUAACUUGAAUGAUUUCUAUUUCUAGCAGCAGAGUGAAGGAGUGGUCCAGGGAUCUGAGGAGAUGACAUCCAAAGAAUACAUUUUUUAGGGCCAAGGAUGUAGUUCAACGGCUCAAGCACCUGCCUGGCGAGCACAAGGUCUUGAGUUUGAUUCUUGGUACCAAAAAAGAAAAGAAAAGAUUACAUUUUCAUUUGCUAAAAAACCACCACCUGGUUCAUUUGAUCAUAAUAAAGUCAAGGAAGUGAAUCUUUCUAUGCUUUAUAAAAUUGCCCUUCGAUUCCUCUUCAACCUGCUGUGGAUUCAGAGCAAUGGGCUUAAAGGAUGGUCACUGACCUGGACUGACUGAGUGAUCCAUAGUGCAGGCAGCAGCCACCUAGGCAGCGUGGGAGUCAGUGCUCUGCCUUGGAGCCCCGGCCCCUGCCCCAGCCUUGCUGUUUCUGUGAAUGGAAAAGUACUGUAUUAGCUGUGCUAAGAAGACUUGGGUAUGAACUUGAAGUUGCUGAGAGCACAGAGCUGUUAGAAUUCUGCAAGUAGCAACAUCUACUUGGAGGCACCAAAGAAGGUUUCCAUCUUCCCAAUUCCCUCCAGGAGGGGCUGAAAUGCAGCUGUUAGGGUUUAUUUAUUUGGAUCUUCCAACCAUUUUUUCCCCUAGGAAUCUCCUAUUUGAAUGCAAAUAUCACUAAGAAAGAUACUGUUGGAAGGGUUGGGGCUCUUGGCAGUUUGGAGAAAGCUGGUGGAGAAGAAUAGUUUCCCAUGGUUUGAAAAGAGGGUACUGAACCAGGUGCUGUGGUGUAAGCCUCCAGUCCCAGUUACCCAGGAGGGUCACAAGUGUAAGGCUAGCCUGGACAACUUAGACCCUGUCUCAAAAUAGAAAGUGAAAAGGUGUUGAGAUGUAGCUUAAUGGAUGGCCCUGGGUUUAGAGUCCAGUGCAGAAAACAAGCAAGCAAGAGGGAGGGAAGAAAGAAAGAAAGGAAGAAGGAAGGAAGAAGGAAGGAAGGAAGAAAGAAGGAAGGAAGGAAGGAAGGAAGGAAGGAAGGAAGGAAGGAAGAAAGAAAGAAAGAAAGAAAGAAAGAAAGAAAGAAAGAAAGAAAGAAAGAAAAGGCUACUAGAGGGGUGCUAAAAGUACUUGCACCUACUUCAUAAUUUUGAAGGUUCAUCACUGCGGCCAAAAUUUCUUUCAGAAGAGAGAGGCUUAAAGUUCGAGAGACCCAGCUUACUAACUUUGUGGGUUUUGGCAAACCUCUUAAACUUUCCAAGCCUCAGUUUCACCAUCAGGAAAGUGGAGUAAGACUUCCACUGUGCUAGGUUUUAUGGGGAUUGUGUGAAACAAUUUAUGUCAAGUUGCAAACGAGGUCGUUAGAACAGAGUAGAUGUUCAAUAGGUGGAAUCUGAUGACGACAGUCGUGAUGAUGAUCCCCUCAGCUCCCUGCAAACAGAUAAACAAGCAAGAGCCUUUAAAUAUGUGUAGAGACAGGAAAAAGAAGGAGGAAGCAGGUGGCUGGAACAUUUCAGUGGCAGCUGGCACUCUGUUUCACUACUUUUGUCCCACGCUGGGUUGAGAAAGGCUUAAUAAAAGAAACUUCGUUGCUUUCUGCAGAGCCGAUUGGACUCAGAGGAGCAAGGGAGUGCAGGGGAACCAUAAAUAGAUAGAGCUGUCUGAUCCUUCAAGUCUCUCCCUGGGAGAAUAUUUGCCCAGCUCCAAGGAAACGGUUUAAUUUGGCAGAUUAUGACUUUAGAGUUUCUUGCAUCUAAAUGCUAACAUUUCCUCUCUCCUCCAAGUGCUUUAUUACGUGAGUAACGUGGCCUGUGUAGAGUUUGCUGGGCUGCUGAUCUGCCUGGUGUUUAAGUAGUGACCCGGGCCUGUCCCACACUGUCCUACGUCAGGCAGUGAUGUGAAAGGCAGAAGUCAGAGAAGACAGUGGAAAACAGGACGGAAAGGAAACAAUGAGGUGUGUCUGUUUUAGUGUGAUGACAAACCUCAUUUGCUUGUUUUGCGGAUUUGCGGUGGAAGGAAAAUGGAGUGGAUGUGGGUUCAGUGCUCAUGGGGAAGGUUCAACAGACCACCUUUUUCUGUACUGUUUCCCUGAAAAUAAGACCUAGCUGGAAAAAGAAUGCCAGUCCCAGCUAUCCUUGCCUUACCUGCCAUCACAGCGUGACCACCGAGCAAGAGAAUAGUGAGAUCUAAAUUUCUGUGUGACCCUGGCCCUCACCAUGGUGAUGACCAGCUAGGGCUGGUUCCAGUUAGCUUGUUCCAGUUGUCUUAUUUUCAGGGAAAUGCAGGUUAUUGGCAUUGGGGAUCAAACCCAUUAAGCAAUAAAAAUUCAUUUCAUAGGCACAAUUUCUUUUUAGAUCCAGCUGGUGGUUUGAUUUUCUGGUGACACGUUAAAUACCUUAGAAAGAGCACUCAUUUCUCUAAAUCAGUACUGUGUUCUUGCUGUUGGGCACAAAUGCCAUCAUCUGGGAAGAUGAGAGGGGAGAAAUAGAUGGAGCACUGAGCUCUAAAGGUCACCUAACUGCCACCCGUGUUACCACCGGUGGGUUACUGGGGUGCCCUGGAUUUCCUACCAUUUUCUUUUAGUUGAGCUCCAGUUUUAGGAACAACAAUCUUUCAAGCUCAGCAUAGCGCUUUGUUAAUAGGGUCCUCACACAGCACUCAGAGGCUGCCAUGUCUCAGAGAUCCCUGAAGAAGGCCCUAGAGUUCAGGCACAGAUUCGGUUGAAAGGAGUGGGACCGCACCAGGGGCUGGCUCAUCAUCCAGCCUGGGCAUGCCGCUUCAAGAUCCUCUCAGACCCAAAUGCACAUGCCCUUGAGAACUCUCAUUCCCUAGAUUUUCCCAGACUUGCUAGAAAUCCCUUUAGGCUUAUCUAGUAUUGCAACACAGAUCUGAAGGGCUACCAAGUACCACAUCUGUUGCUCCUGGGAAUGGAAAUCCCAUAAACACUGUAUAUAAAGACAAACAGCCUUCUAGCCAACCACUGCCACUGGUCAGCAUACUAAUGUCAGUGACACUGUCCAUCCUGUCUCCCAGUCAUGCUAAUAAAAAGGCAGAGCAGAGUAAAUGCAAAGUAUCCUUUUGGAAAUCUGAAGUUGCUUAUAGGUAGGAAGUUGGUUUAUUCCUAUUAUCCAACAUCAUUUCUAAUGGCAUGCCUGCUACCCCUAAAAUUGUUGCAAUUUCAGUGAUAAAAUAUUUGAUCACCAUGCUUAAGCGAAGGUCAUGCUGCUAUCAUGAAAAGACCCCAAAAUGCAGUGACUUAAAGAAUAUGAGGUUUCCGUUCUUCCUUGUGAAGCAGUCCUGAGAUGAGCUGUCUUCCAGGUUGGCAGUCUGUCACACAGGCUCACCCAGGAACCAGAGUUCCUUCCACACUGCUGCUCCCCCACCUCUUGGGGGCUGUUUGUUGUGUGUUUGAGUCUGGGUUGUAGUUCAGGGUCAGCUCACCGGAAGGGGAAGUGUGACAGAGAGCACAGGUAGAGGCCAAAGACCCAGAGCCCACUGCAGCCACAUCUCGCUUGGCAAGGGCCUAGGUGUGGAGCCACGCCUAAGGCCUUCCUCUGAGUUCCUGUCCAAGCAGAGCGUGGGAUCACAGUGUGUGUGCUGCAUUAUGAGAGCAGACAGUGCUCAGAAGCAGCAGGAGUGGGUAGAAAUAGAAUACAGUGCAGUGAGGCGGGAUGGUGAGGGCAGUUACAGCACUGGCCAAGUUUUCCUGUCAAGGUUGGCCAGCUGCUCUUGUGGGACCAUCUUCCGAGAGGCUAGGCCAAGUGCUGAGGAGAAUUAAUCCAGUGUUUCUGUCCUCUGAUGGUGAAAAGUUCACAGGCAGGGAGUCCCUUGAUGCCUCAUCCUUUCUUUCCUCCUCCACCACCAACACAAGUCUGUAGCGUACAGUUCUAUGGGUUUUGGACCAGCAGAACAACUGUGUGACCACCGCCAUAACCAGAAUAAGGAAGAGGCCCAUUGCCUCAGAAGAGUGCUUUUUGCUCAGCUGUGAUCAGCCUGUGCUUUUCUCAGCCCUGGCAACUAUGGGUCUAUCUUCUGGUUCUAUUUUGUCUUUUUUAGAAUGUUCACUUUCUCUCUCUCUCUUUUUUUUUUUUUUUCAGUACUGGGGAUUGAACCCAGGGUCACUCUACUACUGAGCUAUAGUCCCACCUCGCUCUAUAUUGUAUUUUGAAAUGGUCUCACCAAGUUGGUUAGACAGGAUUUGAACUUGUGAACCUCCUGCUUCAGCCUGCCUCAGUGCUGGAAUUAUAGGCAUGAGUCACAGUGCCGUGCUUAUCCAUGUUGUAUUGAUGUAUU
rnacentral:lncRNA from 1 species